rnacentral:rRNA from 1 species
GACGAACGCUGGCGGCGUGCUUAACACAUGCAAGUCGAACGGAAAGGCCCUGCUUUUGUGGGGUGCUCGAGUGGCGAACGGGUGAGUAACACGUGAGUAUCCUGUCCUUGACUUUGGGAUAACUUCAGGAAACUGGGGCUAAUACAGCAUAGGAGCUCCUGAUGCAUGGUGGGCGUUGGAAAGUUUCGGCGGUUGGGGAUAGACUCGCGGCUUAUCCGCUUGUUGGUGGGGUAGUGGCUUACGAAGGUUUAGACGGGUAGCCGGCCUGAGAGGGGGAACAGGGUCAAGAGUCCUGAGAUAGGCACCAGUCGCGUAUGGGCCGCAGCAGUCGAAAACAUGACACAGUGAGCCCAAGUGUGUGGUGGCGGUGUUCGGAGCGGAAUGACGUCCUUCGAGUUAUGAACAGCUUUGGACUGAGCCGAAGAGUGAGUGACGGUAAUGAGUCAAGAAGCAACGGCUAACUACGUG